GGGUUGUGAGGUUAAGCGACUAAGCGUACACGGUGGAUGCCCUGGCAGUCAGAGGCGAUGAAGGACGUGCUAAUCUGCGAUAAGCGUCGGUAAGGUGAUAUGAACCGUUAUAACCGGCGAUUUCCGAAUGGGGAAACCCAGUGUGUUUCGACACACUAUCAUUAACUGAAUCCAUAGGUUAAUGAGGCGAACCGGGGGAACUGAAACAUCUAAGUACCCCGAGGAAAAGAAAUCAACCGAGAUUCCCCCAGUAGCGGCGAGCGAACGGGGAGCAGCCCAGAGCCUGAAUCAGUGUGUGUGUUAGUGGAAGCGUCUGGAAAGGCGCGCGAUACAGGGUGACAGCCCCGUACACAAAAAUGCACAUAUUGUGAGCUCGAUGAGUAGGGCGGGACACGUGGUAUCCUGUCUGAAUAUGGGGGGACCAUCCUCCAAGGCUAAAUACUCCUGACUGACCGAUAGUGAACCAGUACCGUGAGGGAAAGGCGAAAAGAACCCCGGCGAGGGGAGUGAAAAAGAACCUGAAACCGUGUACGUACAAGCAGUGGGAGCACGCUUAGGCGUGUGACUGCGUACCUUUUGUAUAAUGGGUCAGCGACUUAUAUUCUGUAGCAAGGUUAACCGAAUAGGGGAGCCGAAGGGAAACCGAGUCUUAACUGGGCGUUAAGUUGCAGGGUAUAGACCCGAAACCCGGUGAUCUAGCCAUGGGCAGGUUGAAGGUUGGGUAACACUAACUGGAGGACCGAACCGACUAAUGUUGAAAAAUUAGCGGAUGACUUGUGGCUGGGGGUGAAAGGCCAAUCAAACCGGGAGAUAGCUGGUUCUCCCCGAAAGCUAUUUAGGUAGCGCCUCGUGAAUUCAUCUCCGGGGGUAGAGCACUGUUUCGGCAAGGGGGUCAUCCCGACUUACCAACCCGAUGCAAACUGCGAAUACCGGAGAAUGUUAUCACGGGAGACACACGGCGGGUGCUAACGUCCGUCGUGAAGAGGGAAACAACCCAGACCGCCAGCUAAGGUCCCAAAGUCAUGGUUAAGUGGGAAACGAUGUGGGAAGGCCCAGACAGCCAGGAUGUUGGCUUAGAAGCAGCCAUCAUUUAAAGAAAGCGUAAUAGCUCACUGGUCGAGUCGGCCUGCGCGGAAGAUGUAACGGGGCUAAACCAUGCACCGAAGCUGCGGCAGCGACGCUGAUGCGUUGUUGGGUAGGGGAGCGUUCUGUAAGCCUGCGAAGGUGUGCUGUGAGGCAUGCUGGAGGUAUCAGAAGUGCGAAUGCUGACAUAAGUAACGAUAAAGCGGGUGAAAAGCCCGCUCGCCGGAAGACCAAGGGUUCCUGUCCAACGUUAAUCGGGGCAGGGUGAGUCGACCCCUAAGGCGAGGCCGAAAGGCGUAGUCGAUGGGAAACAGGUUAAUAUUCCUGUACUUGGUGUUACUGCGAAGGGGGGACGGAGAAGGCUAUGUUGGCCGGGCGACGGUUGUCCCGGUUUAAGCGUGUAGGCUGGUUUUCCAGGCAAAUCCGGAAAAUCAAGGCUGAGGCGUGAUGACGAGGCACUACGGUGCUGAAGCAACAAAUGCCCUGCUUCCAGGAAAAGCCUCUAAGCAUCAGGUAACAUCAAAUCGUACCCCAAACCGACACAGGUGGUCAGGUAGAGAAUACCAAGGCGCUUGAGAGAACUCGGGUGAAGGAACUAGGCAAAAUGGUGCCGUAACUUCGGGAGAAGGCACGCUGAUAUGUAGGUGAAGUCCCUCGCGGAUGGAGCUGAAAUCAGUCGAAGAUACCAGCUGGCUGCAACUGUUUAUUAAAAACACAGCACUGUGCAAACACGAAAGUGGACGUAUACGGUGUGACGCCUGCCCGGUGCCGGAAGGUUAAUUGAUGGGGUCAGCGCAAGCGAAGCUCUUGAUCGAAGCCCCGGUAAACGGCGGCCGUAACUAUAACGGUCCUAAGGUAGCGAAAUUCCUUGUCGGGUAAGUUCCGACCUGCACGAAUGGCGUAAUGAUGGCCAGGCUGUCUCCACCCGAGACUCAGUGAAAUUGAACUCGCUGUGAAGAUGCAGUGUACCCGCGGCAAGACGGAAAGACCCCGUGAACCUUUACUAUAGCUUGACACUGAACAUUGAGCCUUGAUGUGUAGGAUAGGUGGGAGGCUUUGAAGUGUGGACGCCAGUCUGCAUGGAGCCGACCUUGAAAUACCACCCUUUAAUGUUUGAUGUUCUAACGUUGACCCGUAAUCCGGGUUGCGGACAGUGUCUGGUGGGUAGUUUGACUGGGGCGGUCUCCUCCUAAAGAGUAACGGAGGAGCACGAAGGUUGGCUAAUCCUGGUCGGACAUCAGGAGGUUAGUGCAAUGGCAUAAGCCAGCUUGACUGCGAGCGUGACGGCGCGAGCAGGUGCGAAAGCAGGUCAUAGUGAUCCGGUGGUUCUGAAUGGAAGGGCCAUCGCUCAACGGAUAAAAGGUACUCCGGGGAUAACAGGCUGAUACCGCCCAAGAGUUCAUAUCGACGGCGGUGUUUGGCACCUCGAUGUCGGCUCAUCACAUCCUGGGGCUGAAGUAGGUCCCAAGGGUAUGGCUGUUCGCCAUUUAAAGUGGUACGCGAGCUGGGUUUAGAACGUCGUGAGACAGUUCGGUCCCUAUCUGCCGUGGGCGCUGGAGAACUGAGGGGGGCUGCUCCUAGUACGAGAGGACCGGAGUGGACGCAUCACUGGUGUUCGGGUUGUCAUGCCAAUGGCACUGCCCGGUAGCUAAAUGCGGAAGAGAUAAGUGCUGAAAGCAUCUAAGCACGAAACUUGCCCCGAGAUGAGUUCUCCCUGACUCCUUGAGAGUCCUGAAGGAACGUUGAAGACGACGACGUUGAUAGGCCGGGUGUGUAAGCGCAGCGAUGCGUUGAGCUAACCGGUACUAAUGAACCGUGAGGCUUAACCUUACAACGCCGAAGCUGUU
rnacentral:rRNA from 1 species